GGCGCCUUAGCUUAGUGGUAGAGCGCUAGUCUAGUAAACUAGAGGUCGUGAGUUCAAUUCUCACAGGUGCCU
rnacentral:tRNA from 1 species